rnacentral:rRNA from 1 species
UAGUCCACGCCGUAAACGAUGAGUACUAGCUAUUGGGGGUAUUGACUCCCUCAGUGGCGCAGCUAACGCAUUAAGUACUCCGCCUGGGAAGUGCGGUCGCAAGACUAAAACUCAAAGGAAUUGACGGGGGCCCGCACAAGCGGUGGAUUAUGUGGUUUAAUUCGAAGCAACGCGCAGAACCUUACCUAGGCUUGAAAUCCCUCGAAUCCCGAGUAAUUUUGGGAGUGCCCGCAAGGGAAUGAGGUGACAGGUGCUGCAUGGCUGUCGUCAGCUCGUGUCGUAAGAUGUCUGGUUAAGUCCAAUAGCGAGCGCAACCCUUAUCCUUAGUUACCAGCAUUAAGUUGGGGACUCUAGGGAGACUGCCGGUGUUAAACCGGAGGAAGGCGGGGAUGACGUCAAGUCCUCAUGGCCCUUACGGGUAGGGCUACACACGUACUACAAUGGCAGAUACAAACCGUUUGCAAAGCCGCGAGGUUGAGCUAAUCGGUAAAACACUGUCCCAGUCCGGAUUGGAGUCUGCAACUCGACU